rnacentral:rRNA from 1 species
CCUACGGGAGGCAGCAGUGGGGAAUAUUGGACAAUGGGCGAAAGCCUGAUCCAGCAAUACCGCGUGAGUGAUGAAGGUCUUCGGAUUGUAAAGCUCUUUUAGUGGAGAAGAUAAUGACGGUAUCCACAGAAAAAGCACCGGCAAACUUCGUGCCAGCAGCCGCGGUAAUACGAAGGGUGCUAGCGUUGUUCGGAAUCAUUGGGCGUAAAGCGUGCGUAGGCGGCUUAGUAAGUCGUUUGUGAAAUCCCAGGGCUUAACCUUGGAAUUGCAAUCGAAACUGCUUUGCUAGAGUUUAGUGGGGGAUAGUGGAAUUCCUAGUGUAGGGGUGAAAUCCGUAGAGAUUAGGGGGAACAUCAGUGGCGAAAGCGACUAUCUACGCUAAUACUGACGCUGAGGUACGAAAGCGUGGGGAGCAAACAGGAUUAGAUACCCUUGUAGUC